CCCCUGGUGUGGGAGCGCGGCGUGAGAGGCUUUUUCGGGAGGCAGCUCUGCUUUGGGCGUCGAGGCAAGCCAGAGGUGAGAAGGUCGAUAGAGAGAGAAAAGAAGCAAUUUAUCCAAGGUCACCUAGAAAGCUAAUAAUACUGCAGGAAGGAAAACCAAUGAAUCCAGAGGUGCACACUGUUUUCCUUCCAACUGUUCCAAGUUUCCCAAGGAAACAAACAUCUCCACUGAAGUUUCCAGUCAGCAUCUGGCAAUAUGAGCUGUGUCUCUCAAUUGUGUGUUAGCAGUGUCUGCAGUCAGCUUUGACUAAUGUGAUUUUCAAACAGGACACUGCUGGAGGGAUUGAACAAAUUAACUGGACAUCAUGAA